GACGAACACUGGCGGCGUGCCUAACACAUGCAAGUCGAGCGAGUGGAUCUCCUUCGGGAGAGAAGCUAGCGGCGGACGGGUGAGUAACACGUGGGCAACCUGCCUCAUAGAGGGGAAUAGCCUCCCGAAAGGGAGAUUAAUACCGCAUAAGAUUGUAGCUUCGCAUGAAGUAGCAAUUAAAGGAGUAAUCCGCUAUGAGAUGGGCCCGCGGCGCAUUAGCUAGUUGGUGGGGUAACGGCUCACUAAGGCGACGAUGCGUAGCCGACCUGAGAGGGUGAUCGGCCACAUUGGGACUGAGACACGGCCCAGACUCCUACGGGAGGCAGCAGUGGGGAAUAUUGCACAAUGGGGGAAACCCUGAUGCAGCAACGCCGCGUGAGUGAUGACGGCCUUCGGGUUGUAAAGCUCUGUCUUCAGGGACGAUAAUGACGGUACCUGAGGAGGAAGCCACGGCUAACUACGUGCCAGCAGCCGCCGUAA
rnacentral:rRNA from 1 species